UACAGAGGUCUCGAGCGUUAGGCGGAAUCACUGGGCUUAAAGCGUGUGUAGGCGGAUCGGUAAGUACCUUGUGAAAUCCCACAGCUUAACUGUGGAACUGCUUGGUAUACUGCCAGUCUUGAGCCACUUAGGGGCUACCGGAACAAAUGGUGGAGCGGUGAAAUGCGCAGAUAUCAGGAAGAACACCCGUGGCUAAGGCGGCUCUCUAGUACGGUACUGACGCUGAGACGCGAAAGCGUGGGGAGCGAACAGG
rnacentral:rRNA from 1 species